UAACGCGUGAGGAACCUGCCUCAAAGAGGGGGACAACAGUUGGAAACGACUGCUAAUACCGCAUAAGCCCACGACCCGGCAUCGGGAAGAGGGAAAAGGAGCAAUCCGCUUUGAGAUGGCCUCGCGUCCGAUUAGCUAGUUGGUGAGGUAACGGCCCACCAAGGCGACGAUCGGUAGCCGGACUGAGAGGUUGAACGGCCACAUUGGGACUGAGACACGGCCCAGACUCCUACGGGAGGCAGCAGUGGGGAAUAUUGCACAAUGGGGGAAACCCUGAUGCAGCGACGCCGCGUGGAGGAAGAAGGUCUUCGGAUUGUAAACUCCUGUUGUUGAGGAAGAUAAUGACGGUACCCAACAAGGAAGUGACGGCUAACUACGUGCCAGCAGCCGCGGUAAAACGUAGGUCACAAGCGUUGUCCGGAAUUACUGGGUGUAAAGGGAGCGCAGGCGGGCGAUCAAGUUGGAAGUGAAAUCCAUGGGCUCAACCCAUGAACUGCUUUCAAAACUGGUCGUCUUGAGUAGUGCAGAGGUAGGCGGAAUUCCCGGUGUAGCGGUGGAAUGCGUAGAUAUCGGGAGGAACACCAGUGGCGAAGGCGGCCUACUGGGCACCAACUGACGCUGAGGCUCGAAAGUGUGGGUAGCAAACAGGAUUAGAUACCCUGGUAGUCCACACCGUAAACGAUGAUUACUAGGUGU
rnacentral:rRNA from 1 species